CCUACGGGAGGCUGCAGUGAGGAAUAUUGGUCAAUGGACGAGAGUCUGAACCAGCCAAGUAGCGUGAAGGAUGACUGCCCUAUGGGUUGUAAACUUCUUUUAUAUGGGAAUAAAAUGUUCCACGUGUGGGAUUUUGUAUGUACCAUAUGAAAAGGAUCGGCUAACUCCGUGCCAGCAGCCGCGGUAAUACGGGGGAUCCGAGCGUUAUCCGGAUUUAUUGGGUUUAAAGGGAGCGUAGGUGGAUUGUUAAGUCAGUUGUGAAAGUUUGCGGCUCAACCGUAAAAUUGCAGUUGAAACUGGCAGUCUUGAGUACAGUAGAGGUGGGCGGAAUUCGUGGUGUAGCGGUGAAAUGCUUAGAUAUCACGAAGAACUCCGAUUGCGAAGGCAGUUCACUGGACUGCAACUGACACUGAGGCUCGAAAGUGUGGGUAUCAAACAGGAUUAGAUACCCUAGUAGUC
rnacentral:rRNA from 1 species